rnacentral:rRNA from 1 species
UGUGUUCCAGGUAAAUCCGGUUCACUUUAACACUGAGGCGUGAUGACGAGGCACUACGGUGCUGAAGCAACAAAUGCCCUGCUUCCAGGAAAAGCCUCUAAGCAUCAGGUAACAUCAAAUCGUACCCCAAACCGACACAGGUGGUCAGGUAGAGAAUACCAAGGCGCUUGAGAGAACUCGGGUGAAGGAACUAGGCAAAAUGGUGCCGUAACUUCGGGAGAAGGCACGCUGACACGUAGGUGAAGUGAUUUACUCAUGGAGCUGAAGUCAGUCGAAGAUACCAGCUGGCUGCAACUGUUUAUUAAAAACACAGCACUGUGCAAACACGAAAGUGGACGUAUACGGUGUGACGCCUGCCCGGUGCCGGAAGGUUAAUUGAUGGGGUCAGCGCAAGCGAAGCUCCUGAUCGAAGCCCCGGUAAACGGCGGCCGUAACUAUAACGGUCCUAAGGUAGCGAAAUUCCUUGUCGGGUAAGUUCCGACCUGCACGAAUGGCGUAAUGAUGGCCAGGCUGUCUCCACCCGAGACUCAGUGAAAUUGAACUCGCUGUGAAGAUGCAGUGUACCCGCGGCAAGACGGAAAGACCCCGUGAACCUUUACUAUAGCUUGACACUGAACAUUGAGCCUUGAUGUGUAGGAUAGGUGGGAGGCUUUGAAGUGUGGACGCCAGUCUGCAUGGAGCCGACCUUGAAAUACCACCCUUUAAUGUUUGAUGUUCUAACGUGGACCCGUGAUCCGGGUUGCGGACAGUGUCUGGUGGGUAGUUUGACUGGGGCGGUCUCCUCCUAAAGAGUAACGGAGGAGCACGAAGGUUGGCUAAUCCUGGUCGGACAUCAGGAGGUUAGUGCAAUGGCAUAAGCCAGCUUGACUGCGAGCGUGACGGCGCGAGCAGGUGCGAAAGCAGGUCAUAGUGAUCCGGUGGUUCUGAAUGGAAGGGCCAUCGCUCAACGGAUAAAAGGUACUCCGGGGAUAACAGGCUGAUACCGCCCAAGAGUUCAUAUCGACGGCGGUGUUUGGCACCUCGAUGUCGGCUCAUCACAUCCUGGGGCUGAAGUAGGUCCCAAGGGUAUGGCUGUUCGCCAUUUAAAGUGGUACGCGAGCUGGGUUUAGAACGUCGUGAGACAGUUCGGUCCCUAUCUGCCGUGGGCGCUGGAGAACUGAGGGGGGCUGCUCCUAGUACGAGAGGACCGGAGUGGACGCAUCACUGGUGUUCGGGUUGUCAUGCCAAUGGCACUGCCCGGUAGCUAAAUGCGGAAGAGAUAAGUGCUGAAAGCAUCUAAGCACGAAACUUGCCCCGAGAUGAGUUCUCCCUGAGACUUUAGGUCUCCUGAAGGAACGUUGAAGACGACGACGUUGAUAGGCCGGGUGUGUAAGCGCAGCGAUGCGUUGAGCUAACCGGUACUAAUGAACCGUGAGGCUUAACCUUACA